AUGGAAAAAGUGUCUCCCAUGACUGGUGCCAAGAAGUUUGGGGAUUGCUGCCCUACAGUGUCCACAAAGAUUGCUAGAAUCUGGUUGGAUGGAUAUGAUGGAGAGACCGCCCCAGGUGAUGGUUUUCUGAGGCCUAAGGAAUUCCAUAGACAGAGGUUUCGGACCAGCCACAAGGGUCCACGGAAGACAUCCCCCGGGGACUGUGGGAGCUCUGCUACCGGCCAGAGUUCACUUUCAUCCCAGCACUUUCAUCUACUGCUGUGUAGAACCGGAAGUUUAACAGGGACAUGGCAACAAAAAGGUUUUGAAUAUCUGGGUGAGAAAGAACAGCUUCUCAAGUAAAAUGCUGACUGAGGAGACUGUCCGUUCACAUUUCCAAACUUUGCAGAAGUGAAACGUCCUCUCAAAUGCUCACUUUGAAAAGGGGGACAGUACCCAGACGAGACUCUCCCCAGAUACAAUAAGUGCAAGAUGCUAUCGUGCUGAAAUUAACCUACUGGCUAGGGUGUUUCCACCAACUGGGAUUAAAGUCACAGGCAAUGGAUUCUUGAUAUUGACCAACUGGCAUCUUGGUGAGGACGUAAUCUCUGCAACAGACUUUUGCCAAGUAUUGAUUCUAGGUAUGCAAUCGUGUUUGAGAUCUUACUAGGAAUUGGCUUGCUUUCUGAAUAUGACUCUUUAGGAAACGAAAAGAAGGGUACAUCACAGCCUUGGCUGGUGAUAUUUUUAAAUUUGGAGGCCCUGAAGGGGACUGCUUUUAUUCCAGUGAGAUACAAUUUAUGUUGUAGUUGCCAAAAGAUCUCUCUGAUUCUUAGGCAUUGCAAUCAAUCCAUCCAGCCGGCAUAGAGCAAAAUAAGCAGAGAACGUGAUUUUGGGGCCUUUAAUUUCUCUGCAUUUUAACCCAUAAAAACAAGGUAAGUUUAUUUUGAAACCUAUUUUCUUUGAAUUUUAAUAUCCUAUGACUUUUACUAUAAGGGUAUUAAUUUAAUAUCUUGGACAUUAAUUUCUCCCUAGAAACUUGAUAAAAGGAGAUUUAUGUUAAAAAUUUUCCAACACAGUUGACAUUGUUAUUAACAUUUCUUUUUACCCAUUAUUAUUGAAGUCAUUGACUUGUGCCAUGUAACCUCAUUGUUGAUCCUCUAGUAUGUUAUGUGACCAACAAUAUAAGCAUAAUAAAAAUAUGCAUAAGCCUAUCUUGGAUAAGCAUAAUAAAAAUGAGUAAUAGAAAGAGGAAUGAAAUUUUAUCCCUGGAUACAGAAUGACACUGAACUGGUAAUUCAUUAUAAACAUUUAAUUCAUUAUAAGGAAUUUGGAAACGUGAGCAAAAUCUCUAUUGCCCCCUCCCCAGGGAUCCUGGGAGGACACCAGGUUGGAAGGUAGCCUGGUGAAGAUGUCCUGGCAGACAGCAGAGCUCCUCUCCUAUGGUUGUUAGCCCACCUCCUGCUGGUACAGGCUGGAUGAUCAAACACUUGGCCUAAAAGAACAAGAAUCAAGGGAAGCAGGGCAGGAUGGUACAGGCCUGAAUCUUAGGUAUUUAUUUGGGAGGCUGGGGCAGGAAGAUUGCAAGUUUGAGGCCAGCCUGGGCAACUUAGGGAAGACUCUGCCUCAAAAUUAAAUAAAGGGCUAGGAAUAUAGUUCACUGGCCAAGCACUUGCCUAGCAUGUGUGAGGCCCUGAGUUUGAUCCCCAUCACCUUCAAACAACAAAACGAUAAAUGGAGGGAUUGAAGGGAGGGCUGGGCAAGGGUGAAAAAUAAGAACCAAGAGAGAUUAUGUAAAGGUGUAAAUUUCCAACCAUGAAUGUCAUUAUAUUGUAUACCUAAAAUGUACCAAUGAUUAGAAUGAAUAAUUGAUAAUGCAAAAUAGGAAGAAAAGGUCCAAAGGCAUAGGGGUAGUGGGAGGGGCAGGGGAAAGGAAAGAAGGGAAAGGAAAGAAGGGAAAGGAAAAAUGAUGAGAAAUGGAAAAAAGGGAAAUAAAGUCUUUGUAAAUAGGGAAGGGUGGGCUAGGAAUGGGGAAAAAAUAAGAAUCAAGAUGCAUCACGUAAAGUUCCCAAUGAGAAUUGUAAUUGUGUUGUAUACAUAAAAUGUACCAAUAAAAGAAUUAAAGAAAACAACCAAUAAACAAACAAACAUCACGGGAAUAUUAGUAGAGAAUGAUUCUUAACCAACUGUUGAUAUCUUCUGUGACAGGUAAACAAAGGGUCCCUAAAAUUCUAUGCAUCGUAAUGCCUAGAGCCUGAGAUUGAUUUUGUUAUCUGGUUAAAGGGACUUUGCAGGUGUGAUUAAGUUAAGCAUCCCGAGAUGGGGAGUUUAUCCUGGGUUAUCUGGUUGGCCUGAUGUAAUCACAGUGAUCUCGUAAAGAGGGACACAUGAGAAGACAGAGAAAAAGGUGAUGUGAUAACAGAAACAGAUACUGGGAUGAUGAGAUUUAGAGAUGAGGAAGGAGCCACAAAUGAAGAAAUCCAGGUGCCCACUAGAAGCUAAAAAAAGCAAGAUGUCUUUUUCCCUUACCCUUCAGAAGGAACCAACUCUGCUGACACUUUGACCUUACCACAGUGAGACAGAAUCUGGACUUCUGACCUAUAAGAAAGUAAUUUUGUGUUGUUUUAAGAAAUUGUGUUUGUAGUAACUUGUAGU
rnacentral:lncRNA from 1 species